GGACCCCUCUUUUAGAAAAAGUUGUUUAAAAUAUGAUGGAACUCUCCUCUUUUUGAGUACAAAAUUCUAAGUUUUCAAAGGUUGUGUAUAGAAGAACUAUACAAAUCCUUGGUAUUUCUUUUCUUUUCUACAUCAGUAAAAUGACCCCUUGUCUGAGGGAGGGUUGUUCUCAACCUGAUAAUAACAAACAGAGGUCAAAGUACGGCCUUUUACACAGGGCUUUGAUACAGACCAAACACCAAGCUAUAAAGGACCCCAAAAUUAUUAGCGUACACAAUUCGAACAGGAAAACCAACGAUGUAAUUUAUAUAUCAUGUAUAUCCAAACGGGAAAAUACCAAUGAACAACAUCAACAAACGAUAACUGCUGAACGACAGGCCCC
rnacentral:lncRNA from 1 species